rnacentral:rRNA from 1 species
UAGGGAAUCUUCCGCAAUGGGCGAAAGCCUGACGGAGCAACGCCGCGUGAGUGAUGAAGGUUUUCGGAUCGUAAAGCUCUGUUGCCAGGGAAGAACGUCCGGUAGAGUAACUGCUACCGGAGUGACGGUACCUGAGAAGAAAGCCCCGGCUAACUACGUGCCAGCAGCCGCGGUAAUACGUAGGGGGCAAGCGUUGUCCGGAAUUAUUGGGCGUAAAGCGCGCGCAGGCGGCUAUUUAAGUCUGGUGUUUAAACCUUGGGCUCAACCUGAGGUCGCACUGGAAACUGGGUGGCUUGAGUACAGAAGAGGAAAGUGGAAUUCCACGUGUAGCGGUGAAAUGCGUAGAUAUGUGGAGGAACACCAGUGGCGAAGGCGACUUUCUGGGCUGUAACUGACGCUGAGGCGCGAAAGCGUGGGGAGCAAACA